rfam:Oryza sativa (indica cultivar-group) chromosome 3, whole genome shotgun sequence.
UUUAAGUGCAACCAUAUAUUUUCGUAUUCAAUUUUGAUCGUUCGUCUUAUUUUAAUUUUUUUGUAAUUAAUAUUUUUGUUGUUAUAAGAUGAUAAAACAUGCAUAGUAUUUUACGCGUGACUUAUGUUUUAAAUUUUUUCUAAAAUUUUUUUAAAUAAGACGAACGGUUAAAGUUGGACGCGGAAAAUUAUGGAUGCACUUAAA